rnacentral:tRNA from 1 species
GCGACGCGGCGCUGCUGGCGCACGGCGGCGCCACGCUGGCGGCGUGCCACGGCCUGGUGCUGCCGGGCUAUCGCGGCUCGGACCAGCGGCGCUGCA